rnacentral:rRNA from 1 species
UCGGGAAUCUUCCGCAAUGGGCGAAAGCCUGACGGAGCGACGCCGCGUGAGCGAUGAAGGCCUUCGGGUUGUAAAGCUCUGUGGGGAGGGAAGAAUAAGGGCAGGUUAAUAGCCUGUUUGAUGACGGUACCUCCUUAGCAAGCACCGGCUAACUCUGUGCCAGCAGCCGCGGUAAGACAGAGGGUGCAAACGUUGUUCGGAUUUACUGGGCGUAAAGCGCGUGUAGGCGGCUUGGCAAGUCGGAUGUGAAAGCCCACGGCUCAACCGUGGAAGCGCAUCCGAAACUGCUUCGCUUGAGUCUCGGAGAGGAAGGUGGAAUGCUUGGUGUAGAGGUGAAAUUCGUAGAUAUCAAGCAGAACACCUGCGGCGAAGGCGGUCUUCUGGACGAUGACUGACGCUGAGACGCGAAAGCGUGGGGAGCAAA